CCUACGGGAGGCAGCAGUGGGGGAUAUUGCACAAUGGGGGGAACCCUGAUGCAGCGACGCCGCGUGGGUGAAGGAGUGCUUCGGCAUGUAAAGCCCUAUCGGCAGGGAAGAAGCAAGACGGUACCUGACUAAGAAGCCCCGGCUAACUACGUGCCAGCAGCCGCGGUAAUACGGAGGGGGCGAGCGUUAUCCGGAUUCACUGGGUGUAAAGGGAGCGUAGACGGCCAAGCAAGCCAGGGGUGAAAGCCCGGGGCCCAACCCCGGGACUGCCCUUGGAACUGCAUGGCUAGAGUGCGGGAGGGGCAGGCGGAAUUCCUGGUGUAGCGGUGAAAUGCGUAGAUAUCAGGAGGAACACCGACUGCGAAGGCGGCCUGCUGGACCGCGACUGACGUUGAGGCUCGAAAGCGUGGGGAGCGAACAGGAUUAGAUACCCCUGUAGUC
rnacentral:rRNA from 1 species